AACGAACGCUGGCGGCAGGCUUAACACAUGCAAGUCGAACGCAUCCUUCGGGGUGAGUGGCAGACGGGUGAGUAACGCGUGGGAACGUGCCCUUCAGUUCGGGAUAACCCAGGGAAACUUGGGCUAAUACCGGAUACGUGCGAGAGCAGAAAGAUUUAUCGCUGAAGGAUCGGCCGGCGUGUGAUUAGCUAGUUGGUGGGGUAAUGGCCCACCAAGGCGACGAUCAGUAGCUGGUCUGAGAGGAUGAUCAGCCACAUUGGGACUGAGACACGGCCCAAACUCCUACGGGAGGCAGCAGUGGGGAAUAUUGGACAAUGGGCGCAAGCCUGAUCCAGCCAUGCCGCGUGAGUGAUGAAGGCCUUAGGGUUGUAAAGCUCUUUCGUCCGGGACGAUAAUGACGGUACCGGAAGAAGAAGCCCCGGCUAACUUCGUGCCAGCCGCCGCGGUAA
rnacentral:rRNA from 1 species